rnacentral:tRNA from 1 species
GGUCUUGUAUUCAUUUAAUGAUAUUAAAUUGCAAAUUUAAUGGUGGAUAUUAUUAUCCUUAGACCU